rfam:Gossypium hirsutum cultivar TM-1 chromosome 21, whole genome shotgun sequence
UGUUAAAAAUUUCAUUCAUUUUUUUAUUAAAAACUAAGACGACUGACAAAACAACUCGAACACUACAUGUGGUAUGUGUACCUCAUUCUAGUGUAUAAUGACCAAUUUUUAACAAUAAAAAUGGACGAAAUUUUUAAUA